rnacentral:rRNA from 1 species
AGUGAACGCUGGCGGUAGGCCUAACACAUGCAAGUCGAACGGCAGCACAGUAAGAGCUUGCUCUUACGGGUGGCGAGUGGCGGACGGGUGAGGAAUACAUCGGAAUCUACUUUUUCGUGGGGGAUAACGUAGGGAAACUUACGCUAAUACCGCAUACGACCUACGGGUGAAAGCAGGGGAUCUUCGGACCUUGCGCGAUUGAAUGAGCCGAUGUGGGAUUAGCUAGUUGGCGGGGUAAAGGCCCACCAAGGCGACGAUCCGUAGCUGGUCUGAGAGGAUGAUAGGCCACACUGGAACUGAGACACGGUCCAGACUCCUACGGGAGGCAGCAGUGGGGAAUAUUGGACAAUGGGCGCAAGCCUGAUCCAACCAUACCGCGUGGGUGAAGAAGGCCUUCGGGUUGUAAAGCCCUUUUGUUGGGAAAGAAAAGCAGCAGGUUAAUACCCCGCUGUUCUGACGGUACCCAAAGAAUAAGCACCGGCUAACUUCGUG